rnacentral:rRNA from 1 species
ACGAACGCUGGCGGCAUGCCUAACACAUGCAAGUCGCACGAGACCUUCGGGUCUAGUGGCGCACGGGUGCGUAACGCGUGGGAACCUGCCCUUAGGUUCGGAAUAACUCCCCGAAAGGGGUGCUAAUACCGGAUAAUGUCUUCGGACCAAAGAUUUAUCGCCUUUGGAUGGGCCCGCGUUGGAUUAGCUAGUUGGUAGGGUAAAAGCCUACCAAGGCGACGAUCCAUAGCUGGUCUGAGAGGAUGAUCAGCCACACUGGGACUGAGACACGGCCCAGACUCCUACGGGAGGCAGCAGUGGAGAAUAUUGGACAAUGGGCGAAAGCCUGAUCCAGCAAUGCCGCGUGAGUGAUGAAGGCCUUAGGGUUGUAAAGCUCUUUUACCCGGGAUGAUAAUGACAGUACCGGGAGAAUAAGCUCCGGCUAACUCCGUG